CUCUCUUUUUUUUUUUUUUUUUUAAAUAAAGUUUGUUAUUAUUGCAAGGGGAAGGAGGAAAGGGCCUCCAGACUGUGAAACAGGCGGAAGAGGAACAAUGUGAGUUCCCUGACAGCCCCCAGCCCAGGCCACAGUGCCGCCCUGCCCGCUGCCACACAGCAGCCUACAUGGGAAACCCUUCCCGGCCCUUCCCUGCCCGUCCUCCCCCACCUCCUCCUCCUCCUCUCCCGGAACACACAGGCACUAGUUAUUAGGGAUUAGGUGGAACAGAUGCAUGUAAGAUGCUUACUGCCUUUUCCAGACACAAGGCCACUUUCCAAUCAGCUCAGAGGAAACAGGGUAAUUAGAUGGAGUCGCGGUCAGGGAGUGGGGGGGAAUUAGCCUCUUACUCAACCAGAGCCUGCAAGGCCACCUCUCCCCCCCACACUCCCUCCUUUCCCCUCCUCCUCAUUCCUCUGCCCACUCUGCCGUUUCAAAGCUUUUUAUUUUUUCUUUCCCUUUUCCAAGAGGCAGCUGAUGCUGCCGGCUGGCUGCCAAGCAGGUCAGGCCUCUGCAGCUGAAGCUGCCCGAGAUUGCUGAGCGGGAUGAUGAAUCAGCUGUGUCCUUUAGGACACAUCCUCUCUUGGACUGCUGCUGGGAUGUCCUGUCUCUCUUCCCCGUGGUGAGAGUGCGCUCAGAGCUGCUGGCUGAUGACACUGGUGCUGCCCCCUAAGGCAGAGGAUACAAGAGGGGAGCAUCAUUUUUAUGACAAGGAUCCUGUUGCAUUGCACCCUUUGCAACUGUGACCCCCUUUGGCUGGAAUGUGGGGUGCUGUGGCUGGCCUGAUGUGUUUUCUGUCUUUCUCUAGGACAGCUGAAUAAUGUCCGUAGCCAGACAUAUGCUCAUGGCCUGGAAUGAAGUCGACUGCAAUUACAUCCUAAGGGAGUCACUCAACGGGGGUUUUGUGGAGGCAGGACGCAGGCUCUGCUGGAGCUGCACAUGUGCUGUUAGACCUCCAACUGCACUCACUCUGCCUGCAGCUUUGUGGGAACAAGGAGCAGCAGGCUCAGAAAUACAGCCAGUCUGCUGCACAUCUGGAGGCAGUAAUUGGGGUGCCUGUCUCUGUGCUAGAUGAGAGCCUGUGGGGAGUUCAGGGAGUGCAGGUCUGGGCCGUGUAUCACCCUGUCACCAGGACCAAGCUGUGAGAGCAUGGCUCAGGUUUGUCAGCAAAACACCAUGGUCCUGAAAUGUCAAGCCUGAGGUGGAACUGGGAAAAGAACAUCCUAGAAGUCCUGGAUUUCUGUCUAGGGCUUUGGACACAGCUUCAGUCAAAGAUUCCUCCUUCCUGAAAGGAGAGAGAUGUCAAAGUGUAAUGUUUACAUCAAUUAUGUGAAGUCCAUUCAGACCUAUUCAACCCCCUGCCUCUGCAUAACAUUUUUUGGCAAGCAUUAACCAAUAAGGAAGGGAGUAAAUCUUGCUUGAAGUUAUUUUUCUUCCUGCUUCUGUGUCCCACCCCCAGGCGCCCCAUGGCAGGUGCUACAGAGGCUAAAACCAGUGCUCCUGCAGAGACAGAUUAGCAGCACACAAAAUGAUCUCCCUCCUCCUCGUGCACCCCAGAGCCCGGAAACUCCCCCAUCUCUCCAGCCUUGCAGCCCAGCUGUCCCAAACCCCAGACAGCAGGGAUGGAUAACAGCAGGCUGCUCUGCACUGCAGCCCAGGCGAUAGAGGAGAUAAUGGGAAUGAUUUCUUGGUACAAGUACAAGCAUGAAACCUCUGAAGAAAUACUAAGUCUAGUUGUGGUGGAAAAAAAAAAAAAAAAGAAAAAUAAAGCAAAUGCACACACAUGCACACACACAGCCUCGACCUCAUGUAAUGUUGGAGGGUUUGGUUCUAUCUGACUUUUUUUCUCAGCUGCUGGUCCUUGAACUCCUCCCAGUGUGGCUCCACAACUGGAGCAACAGCUGGCGUGCUGAGGUGCAGUGCAGGGCUGCCAGCUCUCCUCACUGCAGAUCGAGCCUUGCACUCUGUUACUGGGGGACUUCCUUGAAGCCCUCCUGCCUUUCUGCCAGAGUGCUCAGAUUGUGUGAGAAUUGUGCCUUUUGAAGGAAGAAAAAGGGGCGGGGGGCAGAAGCUAAUUAAGAAAAUAUGUUUCUAGCACUGCACUCAGGAUUGUGUAGGAAAAUUAACAAAUAGGAAAUGAGUGUGAUCUACAGUGAGUAAAAUAAUAAUAUUUUUGCCCCGAGCAGGGCUGUAUGAGCUGUUUGCAUGACAUGUGGUGGAGCAGGGGAGUGGAAGAAAAUGGAGCCCUGCUCAGUGCUGCAGGCCUUUUGCCACUGCAACUGAAGGAGUAAAAACUUAUUUUGCUACUCUGGAUGCUAGCUCAUGGCAGGCAAUUGUUUUAGCUAUGGCAAAUGAAGCCCAAGGAAGGGUCCAUCACAGAUUAACUCCUAAGCCUUAGGGUGUUUUGCUAAGUGAGGUGCCAGACCAGUGUGUGGAAAUCUUGUUCCUGAAUUAUUAUUCCUUUUAAAUGUUAGGCUAUGUCUGCAAAGAUGAAGUGUUUCCUGGCCUUGCUUUUCAGUAUUGCUAUUCUUUCCAUCCUCUAUGGCUUCUACAGUGGAUACAGAGACAUGAGCUUUCAAUACCUGCAAAUUUCCAUCUGGUUUGUUAGCAGCACUCCUCAUUAAGGGGAUUAUGAAAAGUUGGAGAUGCUACAGGUAAGCAUCCAAACAGUAAUGCUGGCUUCCACAAUGAGGCAGUGUGUUUUGUGUGGUUAGAGCAGCAGGAACAAGACUCAUGAGUGACAGACCAAAAAAAUCAGUGAUUGCUGUUUGGCAGGAGAGAUACUUUGUCAAGCUAGGCAAGUAUCUCCAUUGUGGUCUCUGACUCACAAUUCAAGUAUGCUGGGAACAUUUGAGGGGGCUGGGUCAGUUCUUUAAGCAGUGGGAAAACAAGGCUUUAAUGCAUCACGGCAUGACUUUGGGUCUGUGCUCUACUGUUCUGCCUUUCUUUGAGGAAACUGGUGUGGCUGGCGGUGGGGAGAGGGAGGUGUUGUGAAACCACACAUACACACACACUCACAUGUGAUUUUAAUCCCUCCUAACAGUGUUUCAGACUCAUUUGACUGUGGUGGUUGAGCUAAGCCACUUCUGACUUGCCCUCCUGAAGGUGAACAGAGGACAAGGCUGUGUGCUGGGGCUGGUGACAACUCUGUUUCAUCCUCUGCUGCAGCAGCCUGGCUGAGGUAUGCAAUGCAGAGGAGCUUGUAGAGGGGCUCACCAGCCCUUUCCAGCUGUUCACUACCACUCUGUGGGCACAAGAGUGUCACAAACUGGCCAGUGAAGCCAGGCUUGCAGCUCUGGUGUGUGGUCGUUGUGGUGGCAAAAAGCAGCCGGGCUGUUCUGGUGAAUCAGACUGUGAGGGUAGGAAGGCUUGCAAGCAGCCGGGCUCUGCUGCUUCCUUCCACUGCUGCAGAUAACGCUGCACAGCCUCCCGGGGAGGGAGGUGCAUUUAUGCCCUUACCAGAGGUGUUUUCUGUUGAUAUGGUGUGUUCCUGCACAUGGAAGGGAAGGCAGAUAUGGCCAGACAUCCUCUCCCAGAUCCUGUUGCGUGUGUGAGUGACUGCUGGCAGUGGGGUUGCUCCUUUGUGCUCCUCUGGCUGGAGGCAAGCACCCAUUUGGGGAUGCUUCCUGGAAAAUACAAAUGAUUUCUGUCCAUGGCUUUGCAUCUCCUGCUCCUGGGAGGGGCUGGAAGGAGAACCAGGAAAUGUUGCUGGAAAAGUACGGCCAAAAAUGGUCAAGACAAGGUAAGGAGCAGCCAUAUGGCAGAUGAGCUGCUGGCUCUAUAAUUAAGCCAAGUGCGCUUGGCUGUGCUCAGUUGAGAGCCUGGCUUCUUGUGUGUUCCUCCCUGCUAUGAUUCUGACCAGAAAUUCCAUUUUUGACCCGAAAAACCUUCCAGAUGAAAAUUUAAUUAUAAAAGUGAUGUAUUCCCACAAGAAACUUCAGUGUCAGCAAAUAAGCAUUUUUUUCUGAAAAACUAUUUUAUUCACACACACAAAAACCUGGCUCCCACUGCUUCCAUGCUACAGCAUUACCCUGGCAAAAACUGUUGAUUUGUUUAAUAAAAAUGAUUAUGGUUUGCAACUAGCAUCCAUUAGGCAUGCAAGUUGCAAAGAGUUGACAUCGGUCCUGAAGUCCUCUUGCACAGGAUAAAUUUUCUUGGCAACUUAUUAAAUCAUGACCUAUGCUAUAUCUGUGAUUUAUAAAAGGUUUCUGGCAGUGGAGAAGUGGGAUGAAUCAAUCAUGGGAGUGCUAACCCAGAUAACAAGAUUUUCUUUCCUUUGGUGCAACAAAUUCCUUGCUUUCUGCAGAGCAAAGGUGCAAGUGUUUUCCUCCAGACUUGUAACAGGCUUUGGAAACAUUUUUCUUAUCUAAAGGUCUUUGCUCAUGGUUGUUAUUGGUUCCAUAUUUACUUGGGAUCUUUGCAUGCAGAGGAUGGCUUUUGGCUUGCAAAGAGGAACUUCUCCAAGGCUGGACUGUUUCCCCUUUACACUCCUGAGUCUCCAAGAUUGCAUGUAAUGCUCAGAAAGACUUCUAGGUGCAAGGUGCUUUUCUGUGUCUAACAGAAAAUUCUGCCAGCUCAUUCAUAAAGGCCAGAUAAAAUAAGGUUUGUAAAGUCAACAUGUUCAAGAAGAUAUGCCUUUCUGGGAAACAAGCGGAGAGGAGGUGUGUAUUUAUACGGACAAAAGCAGUCCAAACUGUGAACCAUAAUGUAUCUGUUAGCUCAUUAAUGCAUCUGAUGCUGACUAAUUCCAGGGGUGUUCCUGCUGCCCGGCAGCAAAAGUGCAAAUAAGUGGACAGCUGUGAUUUAGUGCCAAAUAUUUGAACACAUCAUGACAAUUCAGGCCACCCACUCUCUUAAAUAAAUACAACUUCUGGAGAAUCAUUUCAAACUGGGCUGAAGUGCAGAGCACCCACUUUCAUGUGCAUCUCAACCAAACGGCCCUUAAGUAUUUGGGGCCAAACUUUGCCUUCUGUUACACCCCUGGAGCCCUCAUUCACUCCAGAGUUUGCACCAUGUAGCUGAGUGGCAGAGCUGACUCUUUAUGCUAAUCUGACUUUUUCUAGCUCAGUAAGUACAAUUUCACAUGUAAAUGUAAAUGUGGAACAGAUCUGGACUCGAUUAGCUCCUGAAUCCUUGACAAAAAGCCAUAACUGUUUAUCCAGAUGAAGUUUCUUUCUCUUUUAUUUUCUCUACACUUUAAACCCAAGGUUUUAAUGGGCUUGUGAAAUAAAUACAUGAGUGUAGAUUACAGUGGUAUCAAAGGUGUGAGGAAAGCCCUCCCCUUCUCCUCAGCAGGGCUGAAUGAUCACUUGGUGCACACUUCAGUUGUGCUCUCCAGAGCCUUUGGCAGAGGUGGCUGUGGAUCUAACUGAUGGUGGGAGGAAGGGUAUUUCCAAGACAGCACUUGGCCUGGGGCUCUCAUUACAGAUGUAAAGGACCUGUGAUAUAUAUAUGUGUGGGUUUUUUUUUUUUUUUUUCCUAGUAGGCAGUGAAAUCUGUGCUUGUGGCUAUAUCUGGGGCACAGGGUUGUUGGAGGAGGAGAAAAGCAAGGGAAUAUGGAAAAAAACUGUAUUUAUCAGGGUAAUCUAGUUUAGGAGCACAAGUACUAAAACAUUUUAAUCACAAUCAUACGGCUGUGUGUCACUUCAGGGCAGAAUUAAGGCUAUUUGUAUUCCUUGGUAGCACACUGCCACACUUCAACAAGUUUGAAUUUAUUUUAAGCAUAACUUUAACUCUGAAUUCCCUGGGUUUGUAAUGUCUGGUCUGGAAAUAAAUGCAACCUCUUUAUAUCGUACUUUACUCUUAAAAUAGGCUUUCCACUUUAGCUCCAUUUCUGUUGGCUCGACAAGAGCAUGGGCUGUCAUUUCCUGCCCCGCUGGGUUUGCUGUUUAAAUGGAGAGGGCGGUGUAUCCGAAUAAAGGAACACAGCAGUAAAAGCUGGGAUGGGAGAGGGAUGGCACUCCCAGGGCAGCUGUGCCACAGCUCAGUUAUUGCUUUAACUGCCCAUGCCUGACUAUCUCCUGCAUGAAUGUGGCUACCUUUGGCACAGAGGUACUUUCCUUGGGGGUAGAAGGAGCUCAUAAGGGGUCAAAGUUUCAAAUCCAGUUUCAUGCUGUGGAAGUGACAUUGUGAUCUCAGCUCCCAGUAAGGCCACUGGAAUUGGUGGGAUGAUGUUCAGCUCACACCAGGCUCCUUGUGAGCUUGGCUGACACCUCUGGAGCUGUGUGCUGCAGGUCUUCAUGUGCCACAAUGGAGAGGCUGCUCCUGGCCAGGCUGGGCACAGCUGGCCCAGCGGUGUGCCCAGGAAUGGGGCAAAGGGUAGUCCCCUGCAGGAGAAGUUACUCUGUUUGCCUCCUCUCAGGGGAAAUCAACUCCUUCUCCUCCUGUGAUAGGGAAGGCUGGUGGCUCAGGGAGCUCUGGGGACAGAGUCCAUGCCCUGGCUGUUUUUAACAUGGAUUUCUUCGGACAAGGCUUCUUGACAGGAGAGAAACAGCAUAAUUUGUGGAGUUUUUCUGCCUUGGCUUCUGCCUGCAGCCAUUACCUCCUUCCCUCACUCCCAAGCCAUUCUGCUCGGCUUCUUGCCUUGCUACACAUCCAGUGACACAGUGAAUACAUACAUCCCCCUCUCUCCCUCGCUCUCCUGUGCAAGUUCCCUCAAUCUCUCCCUCAUUUCCCUCCCAAUACACCCAUGCCCUACCCCCUGACUAAAACAAAAUUUCCCUCUUCUUUUGGCAACUGGCCUUCCCAGGGGCCCAGACUAACAGAAGCCUGAGCCCUGACUGACUGUGCCUUGGCCAGAGCAGAGCAACUCUUUGCUGAGAGAUAAUGUUGCCUUAAAGGAGAAGGGAUUUUUUUUUUAUUUCCCUAUCUGUUUCACUGUCUUGCUCACCCAUUUGUUUCUAAACUUCCAUGAAGAGAAUGAUGCUUGUGCCUGGGACCAGCUGCCUCCCAGUCACCUACUGGGAGUUCCCCUCUUCCUGGACAAUCUUGCUGCCUGUGGAGUUCACCUCUGAGCCAGGCCUCCUGUAAUUAAAGCAAGCCUUGCUUUUGACUUUCUGCAAGCUCUGGAUUUCUGCAAGGCCUUUCCAGGACUUGCAGCUUUCCUCCAGCUCAGCCCUUGCAAGCCAAAUGAUGAAGCUUCCAGGGCUUCUCCCGCGGGAUGGCUCCAGUGCAUGCAUCUCACUGUCAGGAAGCUUUUCCUGACACUCAGCCUAAAUUUUCCCCCUUUCAAAUGUCAUCCUGGCACUCCUACUUAGCAUGCACUUUCUGUGCGGCUCACUCCCUCUGAGCAGGCUGUGCUUUUCCCUCUCCACUGCCUGGGCUCUUUCUGGUGCUUGCUGGCUGUCACCCACUUUUCUCGCACCCGCCUCAGCUUGGCCAGUCCAAGCACAUUAUCUUACAGCUCAUUUCCCUUUAUAAAUCAAACCUCCUAGGCAUUUUCCUCUCUUUUUUUUUUUUCUUAGCUCUUUCUUAUUUUUCUUUUUAAAAAUUUUUUCUCCUUUUCCCUUCUCUCCACCACACAGGAGGGAUUUUUGGGUGUCUGCCCCAUGGCUCAGAACACUUUUCUCUCCACUUUCAUUGGCAAGGGUUUUAGUAUGAAGUGCUGACAUUUCUUUGUUUCUGUGGGCAGCUCCCUCUUGUAAUGAAUGGCUGGGAAUGGGUAAAUGCACAACCAGAGGUCCUGGGAGCAGCCCAGGCAGGUGCCCCUCAACCUGUGCUGCGCUCAUGCAAACUCUCCAGUACAAACUGAGCUCCCAUUGUUGACCUCCUCUGUGUGGAGUCAUGAUCACUCUCCCCUGUCUGGACACUUUCCAUGGAUUUUGUGGAUCUGAUGAUAUUAAACCUCUGCUGAGUUAGGUCUGUGUGGGCAAUGACCUUGAGUUCAGGGAGGACUGGAAAUUAGGAGGGGCAGGCUGUACCUCAUGGUGAGCCCACGUGAAAUGGCUCCAUGUGCCUCAUUUCUUUAUCAAGCCAGCCUGAAUGUUCUGCCUGAUGAGGAACAGAGCAGCACCAGAAUGGAAAAGAGUAAGAGACAGGUUGCUUUUCCUUCUGUGUCCAACUUAUUUGCUACCACAUGACAUGGAUUUUGUUCAGGAUCAGGACCUGGGCUGAAGGGCUGAGCUGCACUCCCACUUUGCAAUGCCACUGGCAUUGAGUUCUUGCUUUGCCAUAGCCAGAAAAUGGUUUCUCCAUGCAAAGCAACAAACACAAGCGUGGAGGUUGCCAUGACAGCUCCGAGGAGAAACUGGGUCAGCCCUGCAGUCUGUGGAGGGGACCAGUCAUGGCUGCCUGGUGGUCACCUGCAA